rnacentral:rRNA from 1 species
UACGUAGGGGGCAAGCGUUGUCCGGAAUCAUUGGGCGUAAAGCGCGUGUAGGCGGCCCGGUAAGUCCGCUGUGAAAGUCCAGGGCUCAACCCUGGAAUGCCGGUGGAUACUGUCGGGCUCGAGUCCGGAAGAGGCGAGUGGAAUUCCUGGUGUAGCGGUGAAAUGCGCAGAUAUCAGGAGGAACACCGAUGGCGAAGGCAGCUCGCUGGGACGGUACUGACGCUGAGGCGCGAAAGCGUGGGGAGCAAACAGG